rnacentral:rRNA from 1 species
UACAGAGGUCUCAAGCGUUGUUCGGAUUCAUUGGGCGUAAAGGGUGCGUAGGCGGGCCACCAAGUCCGCGGUGAAAUCCUCCGGCUUAACCGGAGAAGUGCCGCGGAUACUGGGGGCCUCGAGGGAGGUAGGGGCGUGUGGAACACUGGGUGGAGCGGUGAAAUGCGUUGAUAUCCAGUGGAACUCCGGUGGCGAAGGCGGCACGCUGGACCUCAUCUGACGCUGAGGCGCGAAAGCCAGGGGAGCGAACGGG